rnacentral:misc_RNA from 1 species
GAUCGCCAUAUGCGAUGAAAGUCGCCUGUACGGUGAAGACUCAUUAUAAAACUGAAAUAAAGAAAAAGUAU